GUCCCACCAGCACAACAGCAGCAAUGACCACGAAACCCACAACACAGCACCCAUUUAGAAGAUGAGAGAAGAUGGUUCUUCGUGGGCAAUCCCAAUAGAAUUGAGAAGAUUUUGAAAAGAUAAAGUGUAGCCAAAAGACAAACAAACCUGCUUAACUGAAGAUGAUCAGUUAGGAUACAGGGUGGUGACAAGAAAAUCAAACCUACAAACAAAUGGAAAACGCUUUGCCUUCUGAGAAGUUUCAGGCAGGAGCAGAGGAGAGAUUUAGUGGGAAAACGAACCUAGCAAAACACAUUUUAAAAUAGAAUGGUAGGCAAGUUUAUCAAUUCAAUUUACUUUGAGUCUAAUUUUUUUUGUGUUGGCAAAAAUCCUGCCCAAGGCAAUGUGAGAAAGAAGAGAGGGGGAGAGAGAGAGUAAGAGAGAGGGAAAGAAAGAGAAGGGAGGAAGGAAAGGCGGAAGAGAGAAAAAGAAAAAAGAGGGAGGAAGGAAGGAAGAAAGGAAGGAAAGAAGGAAGAGAGGAUGGAAGGAAGGGAGGGAGGGAAGUCCAAAUGGGAAAUAUCAGAUUGAAUGUAACAAAGCUAUCAAUAUUUGACAGAUUUUGACCUACAAAAAAGACGUCUUCAUAUGUUUCAGCCUAACAGUACUUAGUGACUUCCAAGCAGUUGGAUUUAGGACAUUUGCACGGACCCAUCUGUGUUAACUGGCUCGGAGUCCAAGCCAUGUGCAGACCGGUCUUUCCCUAAUUGCAUAAAGAUUUUUGUAUUGAGCACCUUUGAAAAUAGCUCUGGCUUCCCAAGGGGCAUCUUUUCUUGGUGCCUGUGACCUCUAAAGAGAAACACAAAUCACAGGCAGAGAAGUAGCUGUUUAAACAUCCUUUGAUUUCCCCUCGUCAUUUAGUAAAUGCAUUAAAUUAAGCUGCAGAUGUUUUGCUGUCAACACAACGCUGUAUUAUGGUGUGUUAUUUUCCUGAUAGAAACAUUUUAUAUACUGUAAAUAAACACAGUUUUGUUAAUUAGUUAAUGAAUUAUUUUUUAAUGCUCCAUUACGCUUUAGGGAAAAAAUAGCUCAAGCUAUUGAAAGUUCUCAUUUUUAAUAAACAGACCUUGUGGUAAAUAUAGAAUGCCUAAUAUCUGGCGAAAUGGUAGCACUUGCAGGAAUAAUUAUGGCACCAGCUCUCAGUUUUAAGUUAUUAUGUGCUGCUUAGAGUAUUUUAGGCUUGGAUUAAGGUUUGUUAGAAAUGCCCAGGAUUUACCAUAACAUCUUGAAGGGAGGGAGAUACUAGGGGUGUGCUUAUUUAUUUUAUAUUUUAUUUUUCUUGCAACAGGGAGGUGUUUUAAACAAAUGGCAGACAAAUUGAGAAAUCUGUACUUCAAGUCCAACUCAUCCUGAGAAAUGCCAGAAUUUUAGCAACAAAACAAACCCGCAAGUCUUCUUCGUUCUUGAGAGUCAUGCCGUUUUCCUCCAAACAAGGACGAAAGGCUCUUUGCUUGUGGAGUGUCUCAGUCUAGCAGUAGAUUGGAAAAAUGUCCAAGCAGGGGACUCGAGUUCUCUCCCGGAUGAGUUCAUUUCAAUAGUCACUGUGUUUCAUCGGAUGCAGCUGGUUACAUUUUUAAUAGGCAGAUGGCUAAUUUUACAGUUCCAAGCCAAUCUCUCAUUGGACAACAUCCAGAAAGCCCGUGGUAGGGUGAUGCCCAGCAGAAAGUUCAACAGGACACUUGGGGGGAACAUAUGCUAAUGUCAGCCCUUUUACUUAAAUGUCUUUAAAAAGAAUAUUCAGUGCUAAGCUGAGGGAUUUUCACAGACUCAAGCCUAACACCAGAUGGGUGGCCAGCUAUGAAGUCCUUAGGGCCUGAGCAAAUGCUCUUAAUCUGGCUUGGAUGGUCGGAGAAUCAAAUAGCACCAAACCGGUAAUCUCUGAGUGAUUUUUAAAAAUGACAAAGGUGUAUGCACUUGCAGAAAUGACCAGGCUAACUAGAGAAGCGAGUUUCUCUUAAUAGAAGCCCAUGGCGUUACUAAAGCCCUGUGGUCCUAUGAUUACCUCGGCAUCCCGACCUCCGUUUUGGGUGCCCCUCCCCAUCUGACCUUUAUGGAGUUACACGAAUGAAUGUCCGUUUACCUCCCCCCAGGUGACAGCCCCUCGCCUCCAGGGUCAGAGAGGGCGGAAUGUCUGUUGCAGUUAAGCAUCCUUAUUUUUAAACUGUUUGGAAAUCUCUCUCUCCAAGGAGAUGGCUAUUUAGACAUCUUAAUUAAAAGGGAAUUUGGAAAUAUCUCCCGUUUUGCAGCGCAUGUAAUCAAGCAUUUCUUUUUCUCUGCAGAAGGACUUUGGUUGCCUCUUCACAAAAGGCUUUGAAAUGUCCUAAAACAAUCCCCCGCAGCUCGGGGUGGGGGUAGGGGCGGG
rnacentral:lncRNA from 1 species